UCGAAGAUAAGACGGAUUAGCGGCGGACGGGUGAGUAACACGUGAGUAACCUGCCUUUACACAGGGAUAGCCUCGGGAAACCGGGAUUAAAACCUGAUGAAACUAUCAAAUCACAUGAUUAAGAAAGUUAAAACUCCGGUGGUAAAAGAUGGACUCGCGUCCCAUUAGCUAGUUGGUGAAGGUAACGGCCCACCAAGGCAACGAUGGGUAGCCGGCCUGAGAGGGUGAACGGCCACAUUGGAACUGAGAAACGGUCCAAACUCCUACGGGAGGCAGCAGCG
rnacentral:rRNA from 1 species